CCUACGGGUGGCUGCAGUGAGGAAUAUUGGUCAAUGGGCGCGAGCCUGAACCAGCCAAGUAGCGUGAAGGAUGACUGCCCUACGGGUUGUAAACUUCUUUUAUAAAGGAAUAAAGUGCGGUACGUGGGCCUCUUUGUAUGUACUUUAUGAAUAAGGAUCGGCUAACUCCGUGCCAGCAGCCGCGGUAAUACGGAGGCUCCGCGCGUUAUCCGGAUUUAUUGGGGUUAAAGGGAGCGUAGAUGGGUGGUUAAGUCAGUUGUGAAAGUUUGCGUCUCAACCGUAAAAUUGCAGUUGAUACUGGCAGUCUUGAGUACAGUUGAGGUAGGCGGAAUGCGUGGUGUAGCUGUGAAAUGCUUAGAUAUCACGAAGAACUCCGAUUGCGAAGGCAGCUUACUAGACUGCAACUGACAUUGAUGCUCGAAAGUGUGGGUAUCAAACAGGAUUAGAUACCCUUGUAGUC
rnacentral:rRNA from 1 species